UAAGAUUGUUGAACGAGUGCGGACGUGUUGCGGACAAUAAAAGAACGAAUAAAAAGAAUCCCCGCAACUGCAUAUAAAAACCAGACGGACGCAUUCAAUUAGUGGACAUAUAAAUGAAAUAAAUGUGUAAAGGUUGAUUAAUUGCCAAUUGAAAAGAGCAACAAGUGCAGCGAACAAGUUAUUUUCUAAAAGAAUUGAAACGCUGCCAAAGUAUUUAAAGCGAGCGAGCGGCGAAUAGAAAUCUGCCACCAACACAUAUUUUCACAUUCUUGCUUCCUAUCCAAAUUCGUGCAUCGCGUGUGUUUUACGCGGCAUCGUCGACGUGUGUGUGCGUGUGUGUGUGUUAAAUACAGAGAGAGCAAGAGAGAGACUGUAAAAUACUUUUGCCGCAACCUCUUUGGUGCCUUAAGGAAACUUACGUACGUACGUGCGUGCGGGUGUGUGUGUGUGCGUGUGUGUGAGAGAGAGAGAGUUGUGCAAGGCACGUGAAUGUCGCUGAAAAACCAUCCGGCAUAUCAACCGCUACCGACUGCAGCGGCCGCAAUGGACAAUCCGGCGAUGAGCAACAGCAGCAGCAGCAGUGGAAGCAACGAUGAUGUUGCCGCACUUGCUCAGAGCGGACUACCUGCGACAUAUUCGUCACAACAGCUAGUUUCAUCGGAUUCAGAUUUGAUGGAACGUCGCCACCUACGUGGAAAUAGUAUAGUCGAUGAGCCCGGAUCCCGUUUAGCCCGUAUGGGGCACUUACAAUGGUUUACUGUUGCAACACUCUGCUUUGUUAAUCUCAUCAACUACAUGGAUCGCUUCACAAUAGCUGGUGUUUUGACAGAAGUGAAGGAAGACUUUCACAUAGACAAUGAUAAUGCAGGCCUGUUGCAAACAGCAUUCGUAAUAUCCUACAUGAUAUUCGCGCCCCUCUUCGGCUAUUUGGGCGAUCGUUAUUCCAGGCGCUGGCUUAUGGCCGUGGGCGUGGCUCUGUGGUCGACAACAACACUUCUGGGCUCGUAUAUGCACACCUUCGGCUGGUUCAUCACGUUUCGCGCCCUGGUCGGCAUCGGCGAGGCCUCGUACAGCACCAUUGCCCCGACGAUCAUCUCGGAUCUGUUUGUGAACAGCAUGCGCUCCAAAAUGCUGGCAAUGUUCUACUUUGCCAUACCCGUUGGCUCUGGUCUGGGCUAUAUUGUCGGCUCGAAGACCGCACAGCUGGCCAACAAUUGGCGCUGGGCCUUGCGUGUUACGCCCAUUUUGGGCGUCAUCGCCGUGAUGCUCAUCCUGCUGAUCAAGGAUCCGAAGCGCGGCGAAAGCGAGGGCCAGUCCGGCAUGGAGCCAACCAGCUUCUGCAUUGACAUCAAGGAGCUGCUCAAGAAUCGCUCGUUCAUGCUGUCCACGGCGGGCUUCACGUGCGUUGCCUUCGUCGCCGGCGCUCUGGCCUGGUGGGGACCCACCUACAUACAUCUGGGCCUCAAGAUGCAGCCCGGCAACGAGAAUCUCCAGCUGGACGACGUUGCAUUCAAAUUUGGCCUAAUUACCAUGAUCGCUGGCGUUGUGGGCGUGCCGCUGGGCGCAAUUCUGUCGCAAGCAUUAAUGAAACGCUGGCCGACCUCUGACCCCGUUAUCUGUGCCAUCGGCCUGCUGCUCAGCGCCCCGCUGCUGACCGGCGCCUGUUUGAUCGUCUCUAGCCAAACGACUCUCGCAUAUAUCCUUAUAUUUUUCGGCCAAUUGGCCAUUAACGUGAACUGGGCAAUUGUUGCGGACAUUUUGUUGUACGUGGUGGUGCCCACGCGUCGCUCAACGGCGGAAGCCUUCCAAAUACUCAUCUCACAUGCGCUGGGCGAUGCCGGCAGUCCGUAUCUCGUGGGCGUCAUUUCGGUGGCCAUUAGAAAGCAUCUGAGCUCGGCGACGACAAAGUUUAUAAGUUCGAACAGCAUGCAGAGCUUGUCGCAAGUGUUGGAAAAUGCCACGGAGACCGUAACGGAAACCAUCAAGGAUAUGUCGUAUCUACGCGCAGAGGCCACGGAUGAAGUCUUGUCCUUCGAGUCACUGCAGUAUUCGCUGUUCUCGACGACCUUUGUGGAGGUGCUGGGCGGCAUAUUCUUUCUGAUCACCGCCUGCUUCAUAAUCAGAGACAAGGCCAAGGCGACCAGCGACAGCCUGGGCAACGAUUUGAGAUCGGCGCCAAGACAAACCAACCCAAAACUGCUGUUCGAUUCGGAUUGCCUGGUCAUGUGCACAGAUAUUGCGAUGCGAGAGCGCGCGUGAGCCAAAUAUCUAAUUUCAAUUAGCCAAAAUUGUAUUUGGCCCUUUGUUUUUGGCCCUAACACUCGCAACGAAUCAAGAGCAGCGCCAUCGUAAUGCCUAAUGCCAGCCGUUGCCAGGCGAUCCAAGGAGUUAUUCGACGCACUCAGCGCGAACUGAUACCGACUGAGAAUCAUCUAUAAAGCCUAUUUAUAAACCCUGCGCAUCUAGUUGUUAAAACUAUAUAUUUUUUACAAGUGUAUUGGCUUUGCGUAUUUUGUUUUUUUAGUAAUUAGAAAAGGGCGUGUUCCUAUCACUCAUACUGCUUCUAUGUAAACAUACAGAAACGUAUAUGGAUAUAUAUAUAUAUAUAUAUGCAUAUAAAUAUAUAUAUAUAUAUAUAUAUAUCUGAAUAUUGGAGCGGAUAGUCACAUAAAUUAUGCACUAAAUCAUCAAAUUUUACUUAUGUGUAUUUACAAUUUAAGCAAUAACAUUUGAUGCGCCUCCUUUUAGUUGAAGGCCUCUGUCCCAAUUAGAUUUAUAGAUAACAUUGUAUAUAGUUGAAGCAUCUAAAAUCGGUCUUAAACUCACGCUCGCCUAUCUCAGACAAAUUGUUUUUAUUGGGUUACACACACAUUAAUCUAUCUGUACAUAUUUUAGCACCCGGCCAUAAUUGUUAAGCGCGUAGUCCGUACAUACAUUUAAUCGUACUAUAUAUAUAUAUAUAUAUAUCUAUAUAGAUAUAUUUAAUUUUAAUCGUAGCUAGAGUUCUUAACAAAUUGCUAAAGAAAAACAAGAAAUCAGAGCAAAUAUGAAAUAUGUUUAACAAAUAAAAGCGAAACCACAAAUUGCAUUAUUCUUAUCAAA